rnacentral:tRNA from 1 species
GCGCUCGUAGCUCAAUUGGAUAGAGCAUCUGUCUACGGAACAGAAGGUUGGAGGUUCGAGUCCCCCCGAGCGCG